rnacentral:rRNA from 1 species
GACGAACGCUGGCGGCGUGCUUAACACAUGCAAGUCGAACGAUGACGCCCGAGCUUGCUCGGUCUGAUUAGUGGCGAACGGGUGAGUAACACGUGAGCAACCUGCCCUUCACUCUGGGUUAACCUCGGGAAAUCGUGGCUAAUACCGGAUCUGAGCUCCUGUCGCAUGGCGGGUUUUGGAAAGUUUUUCGGUGAAGGAUGGGCUCCCGGCCUAUCAGUUUGUUGGUGGGGUAGUGGCUCACCAAGGCGAUGACGGGUAGCCGGCCUGAGAGGGCGACCGGCCACACUGUGACUGAGACACGGCCAAGACGCCUACGGGAGGCAGCAGUGGGGAAUAUUGCACAAUGGGCGACAGCCUGAUGCAGCGACGCCGCGUGAGGGAUGACGGCCUUCGGGUUGUAAACCUCUUUCAGCAGGGAAGAAGCGAAAGUGACGGUACCUGCAGAAGAAGCGCCGGCUAACUACGUG